rnacentral:pre_miRNA from 1 species
UCUGCGGUGCCUCCCCCACCCUCGCUCUAACACCACAGUGUGGUUUGGACGUGGCCACAGUGCCGUACAAACCACAGUGUGCUGCUGGGGCGGGGGCAGGACUGGGGUGGGCUGAGAAGAGAGCACA